rnacentral:rRNA from 1 species
AGUGAACGCUGGCGGUAGGCCUAACACAUGCAAGUCGAACGGCAGCACAGUAAGAGCUUGCUCUUACGGGUGGCGAGUGGCGGACGGGUGAGGAAUACAUCGGAAUCUACUUUUUCGUGGGGGAUAACGUAGGGAAACUUACGCUAAUACCGCAUACGACCUACGGGUGAAAGCAGGGGAUCUUCGGACCUUGCGCGAAUGAAUGAGCCGAUGUCGGAUUAGCUAGUUGGCGGGGUAAAGGCCCACCAAGGCGACGAUCCGUAGCUGGUCUGAGAGGAUGAUCAGCCACACUGGAACUGAGACCCGGUCCAGACUCCUACGGGAGGCAGAGGUGGGGAAUAUUGGACAAUGGGCGCAAGCCUGAUCCAGCCAUACCGCGUGGGUGAAGAAGGCCUUCGGGUUGUAAAGCCCUUUUGUUGGGAAAGAAAAGCAGCAGGUUAAUACCCCGCUGUUCUGACGGUACCCAAAGAAUAAGCACCGGCUAACUUCGUG